rnacentral:tRNA from 1 species
GUGGUAAUAGCUCAGUGGUAGAGUGCAUGCUUAGCAUGUGUGAGGUCCUACGUUCAAUCCGUAGUACCACU